rnacentral:tRNA from 1 species
GCUCACUUGGUGGAAUUGGUAGACACGGUGGACUUAAAAUUCACUUCUUUCGAGAUUAUAGGUUCAAGUCCUAUAGUGAGUA